rnacentral:rRNA from 1 species
ACGGGUGAGUAACACGUGGGCAACCUGCCCGUAAGAUCGGGAUAACUUCGGGAAACCGGAGCUAAUACCGGAUAACACUGAAGACCGCAUGGUCUUUGGUUGAAAGGCGGCUUUUGCUGUCACUUACGGAUGGGCCCGCGGCGCAUUAGCUAGUUGGUGAGGUAACGGCUCACCAAGGCGACGAUGCGUAGCCGACCUGAGAGGGUGAUCGGCCACACUGGGACUGAGACACGGCCCAGACUCCUACGGGAGGCAGCAGUAGGGAAUCUUCCGCAAUGGACGAAAGUCUGACGGAGCAACGCCGCGUGAGCGAAGAAGGUCUUCGGAUUGUAAAGCUCUGUUGUUAGGGAAGAACAAGUACCGUUCGAAUAGGGCGGUACCGUGACGGUACCUAACGAGAAAGCCACGGCUAACUACGUGCCAGCAGCCGCGGUAAUACGUAGGUGGCAAGCGUUGUCCGGAAUUAUUGGGCGUAAAGCGCGCGCAGGCGGUUCCUUAAGUCUGAUGUGAAAGCCCACGGCUCAACCGUGGAGGGUCAUUGGAAACUGGGGGACUUGAGUGCAGAAGAGGAGAGCGGAAU